rnacentral:snRNA from 1 species
CCGGGAACAAAAUCACGACCG